ACGAUCAUGGCAGCGCGCAAAACCAAACUCUCGCUUCUGAUGUAAAAAAUAAAUUCAAAAAUACAACGAAUCCUGUUUUACAGACGAUUAGCGAUGGGAAGGACCAGGCAGUGCUUAGAUUAUGGCGAGCCCAUUGUCAUCUGGGAGUGGAUUCGGUUUGCCUCAUUCUGUCAAAGUGGCGCCGAUAAUUAGCCCGUCCUCGUCCUCUGUUACGGUGACCAUGAUUGUUAUGUCCGUGAUGAUUAUGGUGGGAUUGUCGUGGAGGACUAACUUCUUCUGUGGCUGCAGCAGGAUCAUCUUCCGUUCUUAGUAACAUCUUAACUCCUUCGGCUUCAGGGUCAAUAAUCCCUCCACGUUGUUGCUGACGUAAGAAUAAAGCGGCCAUUUG